rnacentral:lncRNA from 10 species
ACCUUCGAUCCGCUUGGGUCGAAGUUUAUACCUGUUUCAUGAAAAAUGCAAGACCAAUUAAUCACAGCUGUUCAUAGUACGCCUAUUCUAAGACACCCCUGCUGCUCCUACCCCAGGGACCGCCGGAAUAAUUAAAAGUCACAGAAAUCAAACAAAUGGGCCUCUGGCUAAAUUACAGAAGAUUAACCCAGGAAGAGCACUUAUUAAAUAGUAAGCAGUCCCCGACAAUAUUAAAGUACAAAAAGGAUUAGAAAUUGUUUUAAGUGUUGGUUCCAACUUCAGGUGCUGGUCUUCCACUCCACUGUGGAAGGGAAUAAGUGGAUUUUCCCAUCCUAAAGACAGUGACAUUCAUCACACCCCUCAGAGGCUUAAUAAUAUCUCGCUUUAUUUUAUUUAUUUAUUUAUUUUUGAGAUGGAGUUUCACUCUUGUUGCCCAGGCUGGAGUGCAAUGGCACAAUCUUGGCUCACUGCAACCAUCUACCUCCUGGUUUCAAGCAAUUCUCCUGCCUCAGCCUCCUGAGUAGCUGGGAUUACAGGCACGUGCCACCAUGCCCAGCAAAUUUUUGUAUUUUUAUUAGAGAUGGGGCUUCACCAUGUUGGCCAGGUUGGUCUCGAACUCCUUACCUCAGGUGAUCUGCCCGCCUCGGCCUCCCAAAGUGUUGGGAUAACAGGCGUGAGCCACUGCUCCCGGCCAAUAAUAUUUCACUUUAAGCAUGGAUUUGAUGUCUGCUGUGUGGCCAGAGAUAAAACAAGCCUCCAUUACAGAGGGAGGUUGUAUUGGGCUACUUUUUUUGGAAACAACAGCAAAAUGUGGG